rnacentral:rRNA from 1 species
GACGAACGCUGGCGGCGUGCUUAACACAUGCAAGUCGAACGGAAAGGCCCUGCUUUUGUGGGGUGCUCGAGUGGCGAACGGGUGAGUAACACGUGAGUAACCUGCCCUUGACUUUGGGAUAACUUCAGGGAACUGGGGCUAAUACCGGAUAGGAGCUCCUGCUGCAUGGUGGGGGUUGGAAAGUUUCGGCGGUUGGGGAUGGACUCGCGGCUUAUCAGCUUGUUGGUGGGGUAGUGGCUUACCAAGGCUUUGACGGGUAGCCGGCCUGAGAGGGUGACCGGCCACAUUGGGACUGAGAUACGGCCCAGACUCCUACGGGAGGCAGCAGUGGGGAAUAUUGCACAAUGGGCGGAAGCCUGAUGCAGCAACGCCGCGUGCGGGAUGACGGCCUUCGGGUUGUAAACCGCUUUCGCCUGUGACGAAGCGUGAGUGACGGUAAUGGGUAAAGAAGCACCGGCUAACUACGUGCCAGCAGCCGCGGUGAUACGUAGGGUGCGAGCGUUGUCCGGAUUUAUUGGGCGUAAAGGGCUCGUAGGUGGUUGAUCGCGUCGGAAGUGUAAUCUUGGGGCUUAACCCUGAGCGUGCUUUCGAUACGGGUUGACUUGAGGAAGGUAGGGGAGAAUGGAAUUCCUGGUGGAGCGGUGGAAUGCGCAGAUAUCAGGAGGAACACCAGUGGCGAAGGCGGUUCUCUGGGCCUUUCCUGACGCUGAGGAGCGAAAGCGUGGGGAGCGAACAGGCUUAGAUACCCUGGUAGUCCACGCUGUAAACGGUGGGUACUAGGUGUGGGGUCCAUUCCACGGGUUCCGUGCCGUAGCUAACGCUUUAAGUACCCCGCCUGGGGAGUACGGCCGCAAGGCUAAAACUCAAAGGAAUUGACGGGGCCCCGCACAAGCGGCGGAGCAUGCGGAUUAAUUCGAUGCAACGCGUAGAACCUUACCUGGGUUUGACAUGGAUCGGGAGCGCUCAGAGAUGGGUGUGCCUCUUUUGGGGUCGGUUCACAGGUGGUGCAUGGCUGUCGUCAGCUCGUGUCGUGAGAUGUUGGGUUAAGUCCCGCAACGAGCGCAACCCUUGUUCACUGUUGCCAGCACGUUAUGGUGGGGACUCAGUGGAGACCGCCGGGGUCAACUCGGAGGAAGGUGGGGAUGACGUCAAGUCAUCGUGCCCCUUAUGUCCAGGGCUUCACGCAUGCUACAAUGGCUGGUACAGAGAGUGGCGAGCCUGUGAGGGUGAGCGAAUCUCGGAAAGCCGGUCUCAGUUCGGAUUGGGGUCUGCAACUCGACCUCAUGAAGUCGGAGUCGCUAGUAAUCGCAGACCAGCAACGCUGCGGUGAAUACGUUCCCGGGGCU